rnacentral:rRNA from 1 species
UUGUUGCAGUUAAAACCUCGUAGUCGGAUUUUGGCUGAGAACGGUCCGUCCGCCGUUAGGUGUGCACUGACUGGUCUCAGCUUCCUGAGUGAGGAGGUGUGCUUCAUCGCCACUUAGUCACCGUGGUUACUUUGAAAAAAUUAGAGUGUUCAAAGCGGGCUUACGCUUGAAUAUAUUAGCAUGGAAUAACACCAUAGGACUCCUGUCCUAUUUCGUUGGUCUCGGGACGGGAGUAAUGAUUAAGAGGAACAGUUGGGGGCAUUCGUAUUUCAUUGUCAGAGGUGAAAUUCUUGGAUUUAUGAAAGACGAACUUCUGCGAAAGCAUUUGCCAAGGAUGUUUUCAUUGAUCAAGAACGAAAGUUGGGGGCUCGAAGAUGAUUAGAUACCAUCCUAGUCUCAACCAUAAACGAUGCCGACUAGGGAUUGGCGGAUGUUAAUUGAUGACUUCGCCAGCACCUUAUGAGAAAUCAAAGUUUUUGGGUUCCGGGGGGAGUAUGGUCGCAAGGCUGAAACUUAAAGGAAUUGACGGAAGGGCACCACCAGGCGUGGAGCCUGCGGCUUAAUUUGACUCAACACGGGGGAAACUUACCAGGUCCGGACAUAGUAAGGAUUGACAGAUUUGAGAGCUCUUUCUUGAUUCUAUGGGUGGUGGGGCAUGGCCGUUCUUAGUUGGGGGGAGUGAUUUGUCUGGGUAAUUCCGUUAACGAACGAAACCUCACCCUG